ACGUUUUUUAUUUCAUGGAACUUUAGCAACCAACCUUUUCCUUGUCAGAUUUGUAUGUACUAUUGAUAAGCAUCACAACGUAAAUCUCAACCCUCAAGUUAUCAGUCCAUCUCUUUAAAUAUGGACAAGGCCUCAUAGUCCCUCCCAGUCCAGGCACUGGCAGUCCAACCUCACCCAAAUCUUCAUUUCAUUUCAGGAAAUAAAAUAUUAUGGGAAUGAAAACCACACUCAUCACCAUUCUAACUCUUCAGCUCACUUUAGGAGCAGGAGGAAGGAAUAUUGACCCUGAGGAGCAGCUCAAGCCAUACUUCCCUCUAGCCAAACCAACACUGAAAAACCUCAAUACCCUCUGUUUUCAAAGCAAUGGCCGCCCCUGAUAACCCGCCAGCUGUAUCCCUGCUUCAGGUUACGGUUAUGUUCGUCAUGCUGGAAACGCAGUGAACAGAAUAGAAGCGUGGUUUACUCAGUGUUGCCACAGAGGAGUGGCCCAAGGAGACAAACAGAUCCUUUGCUGUGCCAAACAGGCAUGGGAGAUUGGCCUUUUCCAUUUCUGUAUCGAGGAGUACGCCACCAUGACUUUGGCCCACGAGUGUUGUGAGAAGAAGAGGGAAGACAGGUGGAACUGCUUUGAAAAAGAGGCUCCUAACCCCUCCUACCAACCCCUACCUGGUUACAUUGCCCCCCUUAUACCAGCUGACAUGAUAUUUACCUGGGACCCCAAAACAUGUUAGUGCAGUUUGAGUGGAAAGUUGGAUGUUUGUCAACAACAAAGUGUCAAUAAAACAAUACAUGGAAAAAUAUAUCUUGCCAAUUUUUUUCUCUCCCCCCAAUAUUCAUAAUGAUCUACUGAUGUUAUUAAUAAUGUUAUAUGAAUCGAAUCCAAAAUGACAACAAGUGUGAGGGGGGUUUAUUCAUUUUUAAUUAAAAAAUACUGUAACCCUAAUUAGGCUGAAUGAAAAAAUAAUAAUUUUGCACCACUGAUCACUGAUUACAGUCCAAUCAAUCAAAAGUUCUGUAAAACAAUUUUUAUCAUUUAAUAAUUUUAAUAAUUUAACAUAUUUCUAUGACACAAAGCCAACAGCAAAAUGUAAAAUAAUAUAAGGCUUCACCAAAAAUUUGUCGCUCUACCAAACUCAAAAUGUGUCUCAAGCUACAAAUGCAUAUUAAUAAAAAGCUUAAAAAGCAAGCAGCUGAGAGCUGAUAAAACAUGGAGUAAUAGUAGCUUUGUCUUGUGAAGAAAUAAGCAAGAAUUAAAUGUAAUCAACUUUAUGAUUUUUUUAAAUUGUGAUGAUUUUGAUCUUUCUAUUUAGCAGAUUUCCUAGAUAAAACUGGACUUUACAAAUAUAGCAAAAUACCUAAAACUUAACAAAAACCCUUUUCAAACAAGCAAAUUAAAUAAAACUGCUGCUAAACAGCCAUUUGGGUGUGUUUUUUGUUGUUGUUGUUGUUUUUUUUUUUUCAAAUAGCAGUGAUUCAUUUGUUUACAGUUUAAUUAAUUUAAAUGAGAUUGCACAAACUAGAUUUGAUGUAGAAAUACCUCUUCAAGUUGGUUAAUAUGAAAUGAAGGGAGUUUCGAAAUUGUACUGAUCAGAGAAUUUCUCAGAACUCAAUGCUGAAACUGGCAUUUGUCUUGCUUUGUUCAGCUGCCAUGCUGUGUGCUUUAUCAGGGUUUAUUUGAUGUUUUCCAAAGUAAU